rnacentral:rRNA from 1 species
GACGAACGCUGGCGGCGUGCCUAAUACAUGCAAGUCGAGCGCAGGAAGCCGUCUGAACCCUUCGGGGGGACGACAGUGGAAUGAGCGGCGGACGGGUGAGUAACACGUAAAGAACCUGCCCAUAGGUCUGGGAUAACCACGAGAAAUCGGGGCUAAUGCCGGAUGUGUCAUCGGACCGCAUGGUCCGCUGAUGAAAGGCGCUCCGGCGUCGCCCAUGGAUGGCUUUGCGGUGCAUUAGCUAGUUGGUGGGGUAACGGCCCACCAAGGCGACGAUGCAUAGCCGACCUGAGAGGGUGAUCGGCCACACUGGGACUGAGACACGGCCCAGACUCCUACGGGAGGCAGCAGUAGGGAAUCUUCCACAAUGGACGAAAGUCUGAUGGAGCAACGCCGCGUGAACGACGAAGGCUUUCGGGUCGUAAAGUUCUGUUGUAAGGGAAGAACAAGUGCCGCAGGCAAUGGCGGCACCUUGACGGUACCUUGCGAGAAAGCCACGGCUAACUACGUGCCAGCCGCCGCGGUAA